UGCGAAUCGAGAGGCCCGUCAAGAUGGC
rnacentral:sRNA from 1 species